GAUGAACGCUAGCUACAGGCUUAACACAUGCAAGUCGAGGGGAAACGACAUCGAAAGCUUGCUUUUGAUGGGCGUCGACCGGCGCACGGGUGAGUAACGCGUAUCCAACCUGCCCAUCACUUGGGGAUAACCUUGCGAAAGUAAGACUAAUACCCAAUGAUAUCUCUAGAAGACAUCUGAAAGAGAUUAAAGAUUUAUCGGUGAUGGAUGGGGAUGCGUCUGAUUAGCUUGUUGGCGGGGUAACGGCCCACCAAGGCAACGAUCAGUAGGGGUUCUGAGAGGAAGGUCCCCCACAUUGGAACUGAGACACGGUCCAAACUCCUACGGGAGGCAGCAGUGAGGAAUAUUGGUCAAUGAGCGAGAGCCUGAACCAGCCAAGUAGCGUACAGGAAGACGGCCCUAUGGGUUGUAAACUGCUUUUAAAAGGGAAUAAAGUGAGAGUCGUGACUCUUUUUGUAGGUACCUUAUGAAUAAGGACCGGCUAAUUCCGUG
rnacentral:rRNA from 1 species